rnacentral:lncRNA from 1 species
CAAGGUUAAUGGCUACCUCCUUUUUUUUUUUCUCCAGAAAUAUCUCUCUAUAUAUAAAUACUUUAUAAAUAGUAUAUAGAUGUUAUGAUUACUUUAUCUUAAAAUAAUCUAGGCACACUUGAAUCAGGGACAUGGCAUAACACUGAUGCAAAGUCUGAGCUCAAAAGUCUGACAAACCAGGCCGUGAGUCCUUUCUUUGCUCUUAUCAGUUUGCGACCUUAAGGAAAUUAAUUUAUCUUUUCAGACCUCAGUUUCUUACACGUAAAUGAGGAUAAUAAUAGUGCCUACCUUCAAUGCUACUUUGAAAAUUAAUCAAAAUACUGUAUAUAAAGCGCUUGGCACAGUAAACCUCAUAAUUGGUCAUUAAUAUAUUUCAUUUUCCUCACAUUUAUAUGUCUGUGUGGACUGGAGAAGGGAGUCAGAAUGAAUUGUGAAUAAAACUAUGAAAGGUAGAAGCAAAUACCAAAGGUCAAAAUUAUAUAAAGUCUAUUAAUUUUUGAGCAAUAUUUAUAACCUUGACUAACAAUUAUCUGGGACAUAUAUGUCCCUAAUCCAGUUGACUUUGUCUAUAUGUCCCACUUGUUGUAUGACUGUAAAUAUUAUCAUCUGAGAGUUCCAGUGGUCAUCAUAAUUUAUUCAGGGGAAUUCCAAUACUGACAAUACUCAAUCACACUCUUCUACCCUUCCCCCCAAAGUGAAGCCAUAUUUAAAAAAAAAAAAAAAGAAAAAUGUAGUGUUAGUUUUAACUCUUUUUAAUUCAUCAGUUUUCCAUUUCCUCUCAUACCUACACACAGAAAUUCUCCCCUGAAUUGCUAAAGAUUAAUCAAACAAAAUCAACAAACACUGACUUUUUAAUAGAAGGGUUCGUGGCUAGAUGUUAAUGUUAUGAGGAAGACAUUUAGAAAGAAACAAAAGAAAGGGCUGACACAGAAACCAACUGUCAAAAAUCCAAGAGAGCAAGGCUAUCUGUCUCCAGAUUUAUGAGAAGAAACCAGAGGGUCUCCCAGGAAGGACCAAGGGAAACAUGGAGGCAUGGAAUUGAGAUUCUAGAAAUAGUUCCACCCCUUUUCUUGAUUUCCCCUAAUUCAGAGCAAUGGCGAGGAGGUUUUGAGGGACACAAGUGGAUCAAAGUAAUUUUUCAAAACCUUACAAUGCCAAGUAAGGUGAAACUGUUUCAUAAAUGAUCGGAAACCCAGAUGGUCCCUAGGAAAUAUUCUCCUGGCUAGGGUUUAUACAUCCUACUAGCCAGAGACAUUUGGCUGGGUCUAGAGCAUCUCUGAGAAUAAAGGCAAAACAUUCCAAUCAGGAUUUUAGAGUAUACUCCAUAUUGGUAUCUGAAUAAAAGUGUGGCACUUGAAUUCCAAUGUAAACUGGCAUUAAUUGAUAGCAAAGUCCUUCACUGGACUUAUAUUAUAAUAACAAAUCCUAUUCUAUUGGUUGUUAAAAUUCUGGCACUUCCUCUUAACCUCACUGUGAAAUAAUAGACUAUUAUGCACACACACACACACACACACACACACACACACAUGCGGACUCUUCCUCCAGUUCUUGGCACAGAGCUCCUCUAACCCUAACAAUUUCCUAAGUGAUAAGAGCAGGAGAAGCAUCUAUAUUCUAAUGUUUGGUCUUUUACCCUGGUUCCUGACAUAGAGUGCCUAGAUCCCUUGGGAUUUUAUGGAGCCUCUUUUUUCCUAAUGAAAUGACUCUGAGUGGGCUUCUAUAUAGCCCCUGAUUGGGGCUGGUCACAAGAAAGACUAAGCCAUGAUUGGAAGCUUGCAACAUUUGGCACCACCCCUACCCCCCCAUCCUCUCAGAAGUGGAGAAGGACUGGAGAUUAAGUUGAUGAUUGAUUCUACCUAUGUGAGGAAACCUCCAUAAAAAUCCUCCAAGCAUGAGGUCCAGAGAAUUUCUGGGUUGAUGAACACACCUACACGGCAGGGGGUCAUGCGCCCCCAACUCCGUGGGCACAGAAGCUCCUACACUUGGGACCUUUCCAGACCUAUAUAUAUAUCAUCAUCUGGUUGUUCAUUCAUAUCCUUUAUUAUAUCCUUUAUAAUAAACUGAUAAAUGUAAGUGUUUCUCUCAGUUCUGUAAGAAAUUUUAAAAAUUUAUCAAACCCAAUUUAUAGCUGGUCAGUCAGAAGCCUCUUUGACAACCUGGGAUGUUCCAUCAGUGUCUGAAGUGCAGGAAGCCUGUGGGGCUGAGCCCUUAACUUGUGAGGUCUGAUGCUCACUCCAGGUAGACAGUGUCAGGAAUGUAGGGUACCCAGCUGAUGCCACAGAGAAUUGCUUGGUGUGGGGAUAAAACCCACACAGCUGGUGUUAGAAACGUUGUGUGUGUGUGUAAAGGAUAAACAUAGAAGUGUUUUCCCCACAUGCUCACUCUGUCUCAGUUUCCUUACAUGUGAAAGAAGAAGAAUGUGUACUUCACAUAGUUUUUGUAAAAAUUAACUAAACAAGGGUAAAUAAAUUAGAAUAAUCAUAGAUUAUAAUUGUUUUUGUUAUUAUUAUUGGCUAAUGUACUCGUCUUUCUUAGAUAUUUCCUUCUCUCUUUUUGAAGGGAAAUAUAAUUUCAUUUCCUAAGUAUGUGAAAUAUGUUCAAGAUUUGAGAUCAGGUAAAGAAUGGUAUGUUCCUAUCUCUCUCAAAUGUCAUAAACUUUAUAUCUCUUUUUUCCUCUGUGAUGAUGAGAAGGCUCUUUGGGGGAUUCUAACAGAUCUCUCUCCAUCAUGGUGUUGGAAGUAGCACCACUUCUCACAGCAGAUUGCACAUUAAUUAUGCACUGACCAAAAGCCAGACACUGAAAUAGGUCAUUCUCAUAGCUUUAUUGAAAAAAAGUAGUUAGAAACACAAUCCUUCAUUUGGAAACAAGCAUGAUUUAAAACCAUGAUUCAGGCUUAUUCCAUUUUACAGAUCGUGAGUGGGGUCUAGAGAUGGUGUUAAUUUGCCUGAGGAAAGGCUUUAGGGGAGGAGCUACAAGAGGAUCCAGUAUGCACGGGGAUUGUACAGACCAGACACAUAACCUCAAAUAUCCCCUAGGUAUUUAUAAGGGCACUGCGGCAUCAUCAGGUCUUCUAAAAUACCUAUUCUCUCCAAUAGCUAUUCUAACUCUUCCAACUUGGGGGUAGUAGCACUACUUAGUAUUCCAUACCAGAUAGGAGUUAUAAAUACCCCUCAGCACAUUUUCAGCUCUAGGUGACUCCAGAGUGACAUAAAAGAGGUAACAUACUCCUUUAACAAGAACUUGCAUUACCCAGAGGCAAUCCUUUAGAAAAUAGGAAAAGGAGGAUUCAUGAGUCAGUAUCUAAACAAAUCUUCACAUUCCCAUAAAAUCCCUGAAAUAAUCACUUUUGUAGCAUCAUUCAGUAAUUGAUGUGUAAAAUGAUAACUCUGACCUAGAAGCAAAGAUUCAAUUAUAUUCCAUAUACUCCACUGAAUAAGGAAGAGAAAAAUGUAAUCCCUUUUAGAGAAAAAAAAUGAUGUUUUUUAAGUUUGAUAUUUACGAGUUUAAUAAUGUAGUCAACUUUCUACUGAACAGUUCCAUUCAGUUGCCUAACACGUUUCUCAAACUCAACAUGGCCAAAAUAAACUCAAUAUCCACCUUCAAAUCAUCUCCUCCUCCAACUCUCCUCUCAGUAAACUGGAUCGAAUAAUGCCCCGUAAGAAACCUGAGACCUGUUCUUGACACUUCCAUCUCCUACAGCUGUCAGAGCCAGUUGAGCACCCGGCUCUCUUUCUCCUAUAUCUCAAAUACCUCUUCAUUUUAUCCACUUCUCUCACUCCUCACUGGCACUACUACACUCUAAACAGGUACGACUUCCUACACAGAAUGCAUAAAAUGCUACCACAACUUCCCACCCAGCCUCCCUGAAGAGAAAGCCAAAUCCUCAAUCUAUUCUCCGUAUGUGAUCUUCCACAACACAGAGGUGAUCAUGUCUGCUCUGCCUUCUAAACACAAUCAGUGGUUCUUAUUCACUCUAGUCCUCCACAUGACGUAACAGACACAUCCAACCCACACCUAAAACAAAUCUAUGGUCCUAAUGCCCUAGAUUCAGUCAAAAUAUUCACCCCAUCCUCUGCCCCAUAUCCCCCUACACAUGACAAUCAACAUCCUCAAUCCAAUGUUUAUAAUUAGCCUCAUGUGCCAUUAUCUUGUUGCAUCUCUACAUAGUCCUAAAAUAAUAUUUUAAGAUUUUGGUUGGUUUUAGCUUUCAAACUGUAUCACAAUGUAUAUCAUCUCUGAAAGGUACAGCUUCUAUACUUAUGUUGUAUCAUGAAGAUAAAUUAAUAGUGGUACAGGUUGCCAUUUUUUUUUUCUGCUAAAAGUUCCAUUUUCUUGAUGACAUUAAUACAUCCAAAGUAUGUCUUGGUUUAUGACAUGAAUUAAGCAUUCAAUUUUAUCUGUUUGCCACCAGGAUUACCACUUUUUUUCUUCUCUAUUUAUGGAAGCUUUUCUUUCCCCCAUUGAUCUGCAGUUAUUUUCUUCUUUACUGGUUAUUUCCUACUUUUACCUUUUAGACUUCAAUUUAAAUGCCACAGCCUCUGGGAAGUUUUAUCUAAUACCCUAGGUCCAUUUCUAAUACCCUAGAUGCUCUACUCAGAGCAUUGUUCUUCCUCAUCCUAACACUCAUGGUGCUUUGUAAUCAUUUGUACAUUACAUUUUUACAGAGAGAGAGAGACAGAGAGAGAGAUUUACUAUUGACUAUAACCUCCAUGAGAGUAGGGACCUCAGUUCCCUUAUAUCUCCGUGUCUUAGUACACAGUAGGCACUUAACAACUGACCUUUUUAGAGUCACUUACUUUUGGGAGGCUAUAUCCAGAAUAACUUCCCCCCUUUCGUGGAUCUGACACAGUCUGGACAGCAGAGCCUGGUGGAGUCUCAUUCAGACAUUUCAUGAAGCUUCACAAUGUUCGGCAGAUACUGAUAAAGGGUUAUCAAUACUCCACAGACAGGUGUAUGCACAUCAUCAUGCUUAAUUCUCAAGACAACCCUGUGAAGCAGGAUUUAUUGUCUCUAAGGUUUUCAUCUUAAGUGAUAACACCAAGAUUUUGUUAAGGAAUUUGCCAAAAGUCACACAACUAAUUCAAGGGGUAGGAGGUGAGGAACAGAUUGGUCA